CCAGACCACACUUUGUGCCAGAAACUGUUGCCAUCUUGCCCAGAAGGUUCCAUUUCAUGGCUUGUGAGGCUCUGCCAGACUGUUCUCUCAUCUAUGGUACGUGCCGUCAAAAUUCCACAAUACACAGACUGCAAAACAUUGAAGAUGCAGAUUCUGUAAGUCACCUUACAUUUAAAGAGCUGUUCCAGUGUUUUCCCUGAUGGUUUCGACUCAACAUUUGUCCUGUUUACAUUGGUAUAAGAAUCAAGGACUGGAGACGGGCAGAGAAGGUUUUUUACAUGCUGUUCUGUAUUUUCUGUGCACAGAACGUCUCAAUACUUAAGUGGGCAAGCUGGCACAGGAGUGCACAUUGUCAAGAAAGCAGGAGUUAACAUCAAAAGUUAAAUUGAUGCAGCUUGUUUCAGGCAAACUCAGUAAA